CCCCCCAUAUCAAUUAAAUAUAACUAAGGACACGCUGUUCUUUAGGAGCGCUCCUAUAGCGCUCAGCGCAGCGCUCAAACGGGAAGCAGAGCUUCUAAUACACCCCCCCUCUCCACUGACUCCGCUGAGCACCUGCCGGGAAGCCAGGGGCCUGAUAACCGUGGAGGGCGAGGUGGUCGAGCUGUCAGCUUUAAAAGAAAUCACGACAGGGAGAGACGUCGUUCCAUUGCGCAACGUCACGAUGCAGCAGGGGGAAUCACAGAUGUCGCUGUGUUUCUGGAGGGAGGCGGCCGUAUGGCAGCUGCAGGUGGGGCCCACAUUAAAGUUUCCCAUCUUAAAGCUGAGAGUUUAAACUAUGGGCUCAGACUCCAGUCCACAAACUUUUCCACCAUCGAGGAGGUACGCUCAGAGGACAUCGUGGGGGCACUCGGGGUGAUAGAGAUUGAGGGAGAUCCGGGGAACCUCAACCUUCUCCUAGAAGACGGCCGUACCGUCUUAAUUGAGGAGAGAUUGUGGGAGCCAAUCGAACUUGUUAUGAUCGAACCCGUAAUAAAAGUUCAAAUAAAAAUGACAGGAAACAAGGUGCAGGCGAUGGAAGUGGCGAAAAAUUUAAAUUUCUACUGUUAUAAAAUGUAUAUGUUUAUAAGAUUGUGUUCAUAAUGUAUCAGUUAUGUGUUCAUUUUGUUUUGACUUGUUACUUAUGUUCAAUUG